AUGAAUAAAGUUGAGUUGAACUAUGUGUCAAAUAAUUUUAUUGAUGUUCUUUUUGUGAAUGGGAAUACUGUACAGUGGCACUUAACAGGCUUUUAUGGGCACCCUAACUGGAGUGACCGUGCUUUAUCAUGGGAUGAUAUUCCAAAUUUGUAUAAGAAGGGCAAUCACCCAUGGGUAGUUUUAGGAGAUUUUAAUGAAAUUUUGUUAUCGUCAGAGAAAGAGGGAGGGAAUGGGAGACCAAAUGUGAUGAUGAAAGAUUUUCGAAAUUGUUUGGGAGAUUGUGGACUGGCAGAUAUGGGAUGUAUGGGUGACUUAUUUACAUGGAGGAGGGGCGAAAUCAGGGGAAGACUAGAUCGAGCGGUCUGUAAUGUGGAUUGGGCGAAUAAAUUCCCUCGAGCAGAGGUUAUAAACAAAGAACAUGUACACUCAGACCAUCGCCCUAUUAUUUUAGACACGGAAUAUUUUGAUGAUAAUAUUUUUGACCGCUCAAAAAGUCGAAGGAAACAUUUUUAA
rnacentral:rRNA from 1 species